UACGUAGGGUGCGAGCGUUAAUCGGAAUUACUGGGCGUAAAGCGUGCGCAGGCGGUUUUGUAAGUCAGAUGUGAAAGCCCCGGGCUCAACCUGGGAACUGCGUUUGAAACUACAAGGCUAGAGUAUGGGAGAGGGGGGUAGAAUUCCACGUGUAGCAGUGAAAUGCGUAGAGAUGUGGAGGAAUACCAAUGGCGAAGGCAGCCCCCUGGCCUAAUACUGACGCUCAUGCACGAAAGCGUGGGGAGCAAAC
rnacentral:rRNA from 1 species